GACAGAGGGUGCAAACGUUGCUCGGAAUCACUGGGCGUAAAGGGCGCGUAGGCGGGAAUGUAAGUCGGGCGUGAAAUCCCUAGGCUUAACCGAGGAACUGCGUCCGAUACUGAAAGGCUUGAAUCCGGGAGAGGGAUGUGGAAUUCCAGGUGUAGCGGUGAAAUGCGUAGAUAUCUGGAGGAACACCGGUGGCGAAGGCGGCAUCCUGGACCGGUAUUGACGCUGAGGCGCGAAGCUAGGGGAGCAACGGG
rnacentral:rRNA from 1 species